UCGCUUACGGCAGCACAUAUACUAAAAUUGGAACAUUUACAGAGAAGAAUUAGGCAUGAGCCCAUGCGCAAGGAGACACGCAAAUUCGUGAGCGGUUCCAUAUCUUU